CACCAGGAGUGGAGCCUGCGGCUUAAUUUGACUCAACACGGGGAAACUUACUAGAUUAGAACUCUGGAAUGAUUGACAGAUUGAUAGCUCUUUCUUGAUUCAGAGGAUGGUGGUGCAUGGCCGUUCUUGAUUCGUAUUCCGAAACGUCUGCUUAAUUGCGAUAACGAGUGAGACCUCACCCAACUAACUAGUCGUUUGGUGCGCUAAGAACGCAAAAGUCCUGGCGGAUCCCUUGUAGGGUGGCCUUUCGGGGUUUGCUUUAUGAGGCCCGUUUUGGAUGUUCUCUGCUCGCCAGCGGACUUCUUAGAGGGAUAAACGGUGUUUUAGCCGUAAGAAACGAGGCAAUAACAGGUCUGUGAUGCCCUUAGAUAUUCUAGGCCGCACGCGUGCUACAAUGGCGUGUGCAGAAAGCUUGUUCGAGGUUCGUCUAGGGAGAACUAGUCGUUUGGCUUGGCGAUUUGCAGCAAUGUAGGUUGUCGGUCGGCGGAAAAGUACCCUGGUUAUCGGGCCGAGAGAAACCGUAGUCGAAAGAUUACGGCAAUCAUAAAUACACGCCGUGAUUUGGGAUUGGGGAUUGCAAUUGUUGCCCAUGAACGAGGAAUUCCCAGUAAGCGCAAUUCAUCAUAUUGCGUUGAUUACGUCCCUGCCCUUUGUACACACCGCCCGUCGCUACUACCGAUUGGAAGUUUUAGUGAGGCAUCUGGACCUGCUUUCCAUCGAAGGGGCAACCUUUCUAGGCGAGCGGGGAAGUUUGUCGAACUCAAAUUUCUAGAGGAAGUAA
rnacentral:rRNA from 1 species